GUGAGGAAUAUUGGUCAAUGGGCGAGAGCCUGAACCAGCCAAGUCGCGUGAAGGAAGAAGGAUCUAUGGUUCGUAAACUUCUUUUGCAGGGGAAUAAAGUGCGGGACGUGUCCUGUUUUGUAUGUACCCUGAGAAUAAGGAUCGGCUAACUCCGUGCCAGCAGCCGCGGUAAUACGGAGGAUCCGAGCGUUAUCCGGAUUUAUUGGGUUUAAAGGGUGCGUAGGUGGUUUGAUAAGUCAGCGGUGAAAGUUUGCAGCUUAACUGUAAAAAUGCCGUUGAAACUGUCGGACUUGAGUGUAAAUGAGGUAGGCGGAAUGCGGGGUGUAGCGGUGAAAUGCAUAGAUAUCACGCAGAACUCCGAUUGCGAAGGCAGCUUACUAAGCUACAACUGACACUGAAGCACGAAAGCGUGGGGAUCAAACAGGAUUAGAAACCCGAGUAGUCC
rnacentral:rRNA from 1 species